rnacentral:rRNA from 1 species
GACGAACGCUGGCGGCGUGCCUAAUACAUGCAAGUUGAGCGAUGAAGAUUGGUGCUUGCACCAAUUUGAAGAGCAGCGCACGGGUGAGUAACGCGUGGGGAAUCUGCCUUUGAGCGGGGGACAACAUUUGGAAACGAAUGCUAAUACCGCAUAACAACUUUAAACAUAAGUUUUAAGUUUGAAAGAUGCAAUUGCAUCACUCAAAGAUGAUCCCGCGUUGUAUUAGCUAGUUGGUGAGGUAAAGGCUCACCAAGGCGAUGAUACAUAGCCGACCUGAGAGGGUGAUCGGCCACAUUGGGACUGAGACACGGCCCAAACUCCUACGGGAGGCAGCAGUAGGGAAUCUUCGGCAAGGGACGAAAGUCUGACCGAGCAACGCCGCGUGAGUGAAGAAGGUUUUCGGAUCGUAAAACUCUGUUGGUAGAGAAGAACGUUGGUGAGAGUGGAAAGCUCAUCAAGUGACGGUAACUACCCAGAAAGGGACGGCUAACUACGUG